rnacentral:lncRNA from 1 species
UUUCAUCCUUUAAUGCAAGAAAUUUCUCUUCUGACCAAUACUAUCUGACAUGCACACAGUGCAUUUCUUCUUCAUCCUCCCAUCCAUCAACCAAGGAACGGCAGUCCUGCCCUGCUGCCAUGGACCGAAUUGUGUUCCCCUCAAAUCAUAUGUUUAAGCCCUAACCCAUCAUGUGAUGGCAUUUGGCGGUGGGACCUUUGAGAGGUAAUUAGGUAUAGAUGAGGUCAUGAGAGUGGGACCCCGUGGUGGGAUUAGUGUCCUUCUAAGAAGAACUCUUUCUCGCUUUCUCCUCAUGCACAUACUGAGGAAAGGCUGUAUGAGGACAUAUUGAAAAGGUGGCUGUCUGCAAGCCAGGAAGAGCUCUCACCAGAAACCAAAACCUGCUGGACCUUGGUCUUGGACUUUCCAGCCUCCAGAACUGGUAGGUGGCCACUGGCAGUCUCACCUCCGUGCUCUUCUGGCACCAGAACCUUCAGCUCCAAAUUGUUAAGUCUGAGGGGAGACAUAUUGGUCCAGCUUGGGAAUCAUGAUGUCCUUCGACCAAUCCCACCCAGGAGAAUUGGAUACUGUGAUGGCUCAAGUCCCGGAUGUGGAGGUGAAUAGCAGAAGAGGGGAGACUGGAAAGCUUGUGCAUCAGAGAAACAGUCCUGUUCUGUAGCCCUGGGCCCACUCCUUCCUGCAUCCAGGGCCUGGCUGCUCAUACUGUUGACUCAGUUCUGAACUGAUGUCUCCAUGGACUCUGCACCUGAUUCCAGAUCAUUAAAGCCCACGUACUUGCUUGAGCUCAGGUGCGAUUCUAACUGUUUUGAAACUCUCUUCUGGAAAUCAUAUUGAAAUAAUUGUGAUCACGUGAUCCAUCACACAUUAACCCAAGUUAGCACCUUUCUACCUCCUUGUAUAAAAGUGUCAAAUCUCUGGGUGAAUGUUUCACAAAAUGCCCAUGUAUAAGAUCAAGCAUGUCUAAUUCGAACUACCUGUGGGAAGGACAAUCUGGAUUAGAAAAACAUCGGAAUCCUGAUUUAUAUUUUAAGUAAUUCAAGUUUCUGUGUUACUGAUUAGGGUUCUAGCGACAGACAGACAAAAGCCACUCUGGGUGGUCUCGGUAGAAAUGACUUAUUAGGAAGUCUAGCUAGCCCACAGGAUGGUGAGGAUAGCUGAAGAGACUGUCUUGUGGCUCUACUCCAGGAAUGACUCCCAAGACCACAUUGUAGGACUCGGCUGCCAACGGAGCUGCUGCGUCCCCAUGGUCAGAAAGCAGCUGGAUGAGGACGCCACCUGCCCCGGCUCCUGGCUCCACAACUGAACCAGCUCUGCCAGGAUCUGUCAGCAAAACGGACGCAUGGCGCCUCUCUCUCUCCGUGUAAUGCCUUCCCAAGUUAAAGUCUCACGCAAGCACCUUUUCCUCUGUGCAAUUUCACUCUCAGUCAAGGUCGUGUGCAAGUACACGUGACUGUUGGACUAAGUCACACCUGGAACUCGAGCUGCAAGGGAGUUUAGGCGAGUCCGCGUGGAGCUUUCCAGCCUCUGUGCAGUAGACGGGGUUGGGCUUGGAACAGAUGUUGAAUGAGCAUCUUCUCUGGCUUCCCCUAAUCCUCACAGAGAGAAGAUGCUUGAUAAAUGUGUGUGAAUGUUUGCGUGUGUGUGCGCGCGCUAUAGACUGAAUGUUUGUUCCCCCCCUCAAUUCAUAUAUUAAAUCCCAGUGCCCAAGGUGAUAGUAUUUAGAGGUGGGGCCUUUGGGAGGUGAUUAGGUCAUGGGUGUGGACCUUCAUGAAGGGCAUUAGUGCCUUCAUAAAAGAGACCCCAGGGGCUGGCUCUGUGGCCGAGUGGUUAAGUUCACACACUGUGUUUCAGCGGCCCAGGAUUUCGCGGGUUCAGAUCCUGGGUGCAGACAUAGCACUGCUCAUCUAAGCCAUGCUGAGGCGGCGUCCCACAUAGCACAACCAGAGGUGCUCACAACUAGAAUAUACAACUAUGUACUGGGGGGCUUUUGUGGAGAAGAAGAAGAAGAAGAAGAAAAAGAAGAUUGGCAACAGAUGUUAGCUCAGGUGCCAAUCUUAAAAAAAAAAGAGAGACUCCAGGUCCUUCCACCAUGUAAGGACGCAGUGAGAAGAUGGUCAUUAGUGAACCAGAAAGCUGGCUCUCACUACGUACUGAAUCUGCCAGCCUUGGACUUCCCAGCCUCCAGAACUGUGAGAAAUAAAUUUCUGUUGUUUAGAAGCCACCCUGUCUGUGGUGUUUUUGUUGUGGCAGCCCGAAUGGACUAAGACAGUGUGUGAGAACAGAAAGCACUGGACCGGGAGUCAGCUGACCCUAAUUCUGAGUAAGCCCCCUCCCUUAUCUGGGCAUCACUUUCUUUAUCUGUCAGGUUAUGGGGUUUGACUAAAGGGUCUUGAAGGUCCCUUCCAGUUUGAAUAGUCCA